ensembl:lncRNA
UGCCUACUAUGUGCUCAGCACUGUACUAGGCACUAAGGGGUGCAGUGAUACAAAUGUGAAAUAUUUGUCCUGCCCUCAAGGAGCUUACACUUUAAUUCCGGAAAUAAAUACAAAUGUAAAACUACAAUACAGACUUCUAGAAAAUAAUUGCAGAGCAACAUAUCAGUAAGUGCAUGGAUCACAGUACAGACUCAAGAGACGUGCUGAGACAGGACAGAGUAAGGGAGAUCUCAGUGUGAAUGAAGCCCAUCAGAGGGCUCACUCAAAAGGUAUAAAGAUAGGUUUUGAAGGGAGUAAUAAACAUGAGCUGGGGCCAAAGAGUAAACGAACAAACAAACAAACAGAAUUCCAUGAUAAAGGCACAGAGGCAAGGGCUUGUAAGAUAGUAGAAAGCUGUAAAAGUUUGCGCGUGAUGAGUCAAGCUGAACAUGCUAGAGAGUAAUGAAGCCGAGGCAGAUUAGGCAUGGAGGACAACGUAAUGGAAAACUUGGAACACCACUCUCUGAAAGGAAUUACCUAAGUGUGGAAUAAAAACGAAGCAUCAUGAAAAUGGAGUUUGAAGACCAUCACUUUAGAAGUCUUAUACAAGAUAAGGACUCUGAGAGCAAGCAAAGUGAAAAGAAUUACACUAAUCUAGGCCUUAUGUGAUGUGUACCUGCAUGAAAGGACAUAAGGGGGUGGCAGAGAAGUAAACGAUUAAGGCUUAAAGAGACUAAGAAUAGGCUCGAGAGCAAGAUUACGAACCAGGAGAAUAGAGGUCAAAGAUCACGGUGUAACUUCAAGGUUGGUAUAAAAAAUAAAAGGUGGUGAGUCUUUUCAGGGCAGCUAUGCUGUUUAGAAAGAAAAUGAGAGCUAGGUACAGUAGUGUACAACUUUAAUACCGUAUCACUCUGGGAGGCCGAGGCAGAAGGAUCACAAGUUUGAGCCUAGUACAGGCGUCUUAACGAUAACCUGUUUCAAAAUGAAAAAAUAAGCUAGGCAUUUAGCUCAGUGGCGCCACCACCUGCCUUGCAAGCACAACGUCCUGCGUUUGAUCCCGGUACCAAAGGGAAAACAAAAACAAAAAGAUGAAAUAAAAGAGGCUGUGGUAGCUUAGUGUCAAGGCCCUGGGUUUAUCCUCGAUACUGCAAAAAUAAAAAGAAAAUCAGAGUUAGAAUAAGAGAGUGAUGAGUUUUGUUUUCAAAAUCAACUUGUAUACAUCUCUGUGGAAAAUCCCACGUAUCACGAGAUGUUACACAGGAUGGGAAAUAUGAAGUCACUUAAAUGUAUAAACAAUAUGGAUAAACAGGGAUAUAGAAAAAGUAGUGAGCAAAAAUAAGAUACAUUAUUGAGUAAAGAGUGGAAGAAAAAAAAACUAAAAAAAGGAUCCCACGAGUCAAAGGUGAAGAGAAUUCCUGAAAUCAGGGAAAAAAAUUCAACAGUAAGAGAUAUACAUGAGAUUAAGAAGGACAAAACCUUUUAAAAGCCUUAGUAUUUAUACAAAGGCACCCUGAGGAUAUUUCAAUGGAAUGAUGAGUAAAAAAAUCAGGAGAAAUUUGAAGACUAAAUUAAGGAGCAAACUGGUUAAAAAUGGAAGAUGUUUGAAAAAUCAGUAAUGAUUGAGGAAAGAUAGAAUGGCAGCUGGACAUGGGUGAUAAGGUGGAAAGUUUCCAUGUUUUAUGUUGUUUGUGAACUUAACUAUUGUCAUCUUCACUGUCCAUCUGCCCAGCCUAGAACAUGGAUAAUUUUUCUCCUCAGAAUUCUUUUGUUCCUUAGACAGUUUAGAGAAAAUGUAUCUGGUAUAAGUUAUUACUGCUUCAUCCUCCCAGUACUUUUAAAUAUUUUAUUUACAUAAUUUAGCUUCUAGUAUGCAUCAAAAGCAUUGACAUUUAAAGAUGAUAUAGCCCCAAAUGCUAUUUUCAACCAAUCUUCGAGUAAUUGCAAUGGAUUUGCACUACACUGCACAUUACCUGACCCAGGACCUCUCAUAACCAGGCUUAUGUGCUUUCUAAAUGACUGGCCAGAGUUCGUGUUCACUGUAGGUAGCAGAGCAGUGGUCAGCACAGGCUCUACAGCCAGGCUGGUAGGGUAGGAACUUAAUCCAUCGUAGGCAGGAAAUGCUUAAUGUGGGGCUUGGCAGCUAUUAUUACCUGGAACUUAGAAGCAAGAGUAAAGCUAAACGGCUAGCUAAUAAAGCACCGUAUUUCUACCACACCACCCUGCCUCACUAAGAAGAUCUUUGCUCUUCAGUGCCUUUCCCAGGACUGUGUUGGAUGGCAACAGUUAUCCAAGAACUACUGUAUCAUGCCAGGUGCUAAAAUGAGAAGCUAAGAAUGAGCCAAAAAAUACCAGUGAAAAGUUCACUUCAGAUUAAAAGCAUAAAAUCAAAAUCUGCAAAAUAAAAGAUGCCUUUCAUAGUUAAGAGCUUGAAAUAAUGUCAUAUAGGUUGAUCAAUGAUCUUCUAAUGCUAACUUGAGACCAAGAAUGACUUCAGCUUAUAUCCUCAAAGUAUCCAGUCUUUUUCUGUGGUCUUACACCAUUAGGCUUUUUCUUGUUUUUUUCCUUUGGUACUGGGGAUUGAACUCGGGACCUUGUACUUGCAAAUCAGGCGGCGGAACCACUGAGCUAAAUCCCUGGUCCCCAUUAGGCUUUUUCUUUUGGUACCAGGGAUCGAACUGGGGACUUUGCGCUUUUGAGGCAGGAGACAGAAGCACUGAGCUAAAUCCCCGGCCCACCAUUAGGUCUUUUCUAUACAUAUGCUGAAUCAGUUUUUAUGAUUCUUUCAAGUGACAAUCUUUUCUCACACUCACUAACACUAAUCAUCAGUGUAACUAAUCUCUCUAGUCAUGUUACUUUCUUUUCUCUGAAUUUGUGACAGAUGUUAAUUAAUAAUUCUGAGAUUUAAAUGAUGUGGCUAUAUAUCACUCUGGGUACUGCUGCCAAAAGAGAUGCCAGAAUACAGACAUUUUAUUAUGUUGCUCUGCUCAUCUGAAGUAUUUGAAAGGAGCGUGUGUACACAUAUGCAUGUGUGCAAACAUGUGCAUCUUCCCUUUGACCGUGGACUCACCUUAUGUAAGAGCUGCACACAGUGGAGCACUGGGACCAGGCAGAAUCAUACCACAGAGGAUAAGGCACAACCGAAGCAAAGGGCAAGGACCUGGAUACAACCACACUUACUUGAUUCUGGUUUGUGAGAAUUUCAACAGCAGGGAAUUAGGAAUGGUAAUUUAUAUGUCAAAAAAAGAAGAGGGGCUGGGGGAUGCAGCUCAGUGGCAGAGUAUUUGCCUAGCAUGCACAAGGCCCUGGGUUCAAUUCUCAGUACCACAAAAGAGAAAGAAAAAAAAGGAGGAUAAAAAAAUAAUAAAAAGGACUGUUCUGAAAAAAUUAAUCAAGGAAACUAGGAUGACACGGGAGGAAUAGGUACCAAUGGCUCCAUGAAACAAAUAGUAAUAAUCUCAGAAUUCCUAAUGGUCAAGGUGGGUCAUACAGACAUAGAGAUAUUAUGAAGAAAGAAUUUAUGAAUCAAAGGUUGACCUCAAUGAGGUUUUAUGACUGAUUUUUAACACAUUGAUCAGAAAACAUCAUGACUGUUGUACCUUUACAGGAUAGUCACACCCUAAAUGGUGUUAUUCCUCUUGGAAGUUUUGUCAGAAUGUAUAUAAUUGGUCUUCUUAAUAGACUGGAAUAAUUUCAAAUCUGAGGGUUAAUUUUUGAAAGCAAAAGUUAUUGAAUUCGAAGUUCAGUGACUAAGUAGGUAAUCAACUGGUCAAAACAGAAUUCAGUUAGGAGUAAUAGAGGUUUUUCUUGAGUGGUUUAUAAAAUGGGAAUUCUAAGAAUGUUCCACAUAUUUGGAAGAAUAGUAACACUAUUAAAUAACAGUACUUGAGAAUAUGUAGCACUAAGCAAUUUGAAGGGUACUCUAUAUUGAAUUUGGCAUGUUACUUUAAAUCAGUCUCAAUCAAGAUAUAUCCUGUACAGGUACAAAUUUGCAAUGAUGAAUGUGACCAUCAUGUAUACCUAACAUGUAGCAAUAAACUUGAUUAAUUAGAAAAUAUCAGUCUCAUUGCUAUACGCAUCCCUAGGAAUACUAAAAGCCCUCAAAGAUGGUACAUAGUGCCUGGAGCUCAUAGUCUAACCCUUCAGAGGUCAUGGCUGACCCAGAGAGAUACAAACUCUUCUUACAUACUGCUAGCACCUGACCUCACCCUACAGGGUUAAUCAUGUGUCCUGUUAGGAGAUUACAAACACUAAUUACUGAAGGAGUGUACCACAGUUCAGAAGAAAGAGGAAUUGUGAGGUAAGGUAUCUGAUAGAUCAUCAACAUGGGUAUUAAAUCAUAUACGCAAAUGGCAAGGACCUGAUGGAGAGUGAUGUGUGAAGAGCUCCAGCCUUUUGAGGUGGGUCCAGGGCAACCACAGGGCCAAGAGCCCAUCUAGUCAAGAUAUGUGUGCAGGUGGACAGGAACCUGAGAGAGUAGUACAUAGCAGACCAAAGGGAUGAUGUAAGGUUUGUGAACACUUUUAUGUCUUCUUCAUUACUCUGCCUACUUUCUGUCCUACAUGAUUCCAUAACUAGGAUAGUGAAA